rnacentral:rRNA from 1 species
CGUGUAGCGGUGAAAUGCGUAGAGAUGUGGAGGAACACCAGUGGCGAAGGCGACUCUCUGGUCUGUAACUGACGCUGAGGAGCGAAAGCGUGGGGAGCGAACAGGAUUAGAUACCCUGGUAGUCCACGCCGUAAACGAUGAGUGCUAAGUGUUAGGGGGUUUCCGCCCCUUAGUGCUGCAGCUAACGCAUUAAGCACUCCGCCUGGGGAGUACGGUCGCAAGACUGAAACUCAAAGGAAUUGACGGGGGCCCGCACAAGCGGUGGAGCAUGUGGUUUAAUUUGAAGCAACGCGAAGAACCUUACCAGGUCUUGACAUCCUCUGACAACCCUAGAGAUAGGGCUUUCCCUUCGGGGACAGAGUGACAGGUGGUGCAUGGUUGUCGUCAGCUCGUGUCGUGAGAUGUUGGGUUAAGUCCCGCAACGAGCGCAACCCUUGAUCUUAGUUGCCAGCAUUCAGUUGGGCACUCUAAGGUGACUGCCGGUGACAAACCGGAGGAAGGUGGGGAUGACGUCAAAUCAUCAUGCCCCUUAUGACCUGGGCUACACACGUGCUACAAUGGACAGAACAAAGGGCUGCAAGACCGCAAGGUUUAGCCAAUCCCAUAAAUCUGUUCUCAGUUCGGAUCGCAGUCUGCAACUCGACUGCGUGAAGCUGGAAUCGCUAGUAAUCGCGGAUCAGCAUGCCGCGGUGAAUACGUUCCCGGGCCUUGUACACACCGCCCGUCAC